UACGAAGGGGGCUAGCGUUGCUCGGAAUCACUGGGCGUAAAGCGCACGUAGGCGGAUCUUUAAGUCAGGGGUGAAAUCCCAAGGCUCAACCUUGGAACUGCCUUUGAUACUGGGGAUCUCGAGUCCGGAAGGGGUGAGUGGAACUGCGAGUGUAGAGGUGAAAUUCGUAGAUAUUCGCAAGAACACCAGUGGCGAAGGCGGCUCACUGGUCCGGUACUGACGCUGAGGUGCGAAAGCGUGGGGAGCAAACAGG
rnacentral:rRNA from 1 species